CUUAAUUACUGACCAAGAACUUAAUUUUAUGGAUAAUAAUGAUAGCUAUAAUAUUAGAAAGGAGAUUGCAAUUGACAUUGCAGAAAAGUUUAUUGGAAAUGACAAUGGCAUUAAUUGCAAUAAGUGUGGAAUAGUUUAUCCACAGAAUCAGGCUGCUAUUCAUUCCAAAGGUUGUGAAUGCUUUGUUUUGAAACAUCAAUCUCGGGAGGCGGAGAUUUUA